rnacentral:lncRNA from 1 species
UUGAGGUGGUCUACAGUUUCUACUUCAAUAAAUCUACCAUAGCAUUGAACUUCAUUUGUUGUUACAUGGACUGGCCUUUCUUUAGCAAUGAAAAGUUUUUACCUUGAUCAUGCCUCACUCACCAAAAGUAUCCAUCUCUAAAAGGAUGAUGAUCCACUUCUCAUAUAACAACAUAGAGUAUUCCCCCCAACUCCCAAAGUGCACAUGGGUCAAAGGAGAUACAAAAGAGGAGUCCAGGAACAGUGACAGAUGAAUGGACUAAGAUGUACAGUAAAGACACUUUGUGAAGGACCAUCAGAGAGCCUCACCUUCUAGUCAUCUCUAACAUAAGCUGGUAGGAAGUUAUAAAGUUACUUCACUUACAAAUGGAAUUGACAUUGAGCUUUCACAUGGUCACAGGGGCUGCAAGAUUGAAAUGUCAAGCCAGGUAUGACGGCACAUGCCUGUUAUCCCCAUUACUCUGGAGGUGGAAGGAGGAGGAUCCCUGAGCUAUACAGCAAGGUAGAAGCCAGAUACUUCAUGGCUACAUAAUGAGAUUGUAUCUCAAAAUCUCAAAACAACAGAAAAGAAAUAAAAUGACUGGGAUAAAAAGUCUAAGGUUUGGGGGUUUUUUGUUUGUUUGUUUUUGUUUUUGGAUUUUAGAGACAGGGUUUCUCUGUGUAGCCCUGGCUGUCCUGGAACUCACUCUGUAGACCAGUCUGGCCUCGAACUCAGAAAUCCGCCUGCCUCUGCCUCCCAGGUGCUGGGAUUAAAGGCGUGCGCCACCACUGCCUGAGUUAUUUUUCUUCAUCACAACACCCUUGCUUUAUCCUCAUUCACCUACAGACGUCAAUGGUAAGAAAGGCUCUGUCAGAACCAUAACAAAUUCAAUUUCUACAGCAGUUAGCUUUUAGAAAGCAAAGACAGUGGAAAGUAGGUUGGUUCUGAAAACCUUGGUAGUCAAUUUCUAUCCCAUCUCUACAUCUCUGAUUUCCCCCAGCCCUGAACCCAAAGUUCUUUCAUUAUGAUUGUAAUCAACUGAGUCUAAACAUCUAGAAUUAGAGGUGGUAGCUUGAAAGAAAAGAAGGGCUAGGCAUGGAGGUAUACACAUAUAAUCCCAGCACUUCUGAGGCCCAGGCAUGUAAAAGUUCUCAACUUUACAAAGAUCUAGGCAAAUUAUAGUUACUGAGUAGUAUAGCAUAUUUAAAUCUUAAUCAUCUAGAAUCUCUGCACUCCAGGCUGUACUCUCUUUGAUGAGGCUAUACCAGAGCUUAUCAAAAACUGAUAAUGAAACACAAUGAUCAGGAUUCCUGUUCAACUCUAAUGCAUGGUGUCACUAAGAGAGAAAGGAAAGGACAAGGUCAAAGAUGACAAGAUCCCUCUUUCAGUAGAAAUAUAAACUUUAAACUAAGGAAUAGUGGCGCAUGCCUGUCAUCUCACCAUACAUGUGAGGACAACCUGAUCUACAAAGCGAGCUCUGGGUCAGCCAAGGCUCAAGAGUGAUGAAAUCUGGUCUCCAAAAAAAAAAGGGGGGGAGGAGGUAAAAUGGAUGAGGAGGAAGCUGGAGUGAUGAAGCAUUUGUCUUGCAAGCAUGAGGGCCUGAGUUUCAUUCCCAAGUACACUGAAUAAAGGCAGGUAGGCGUGUCCACUUGUACCCAGCACUGGGGUAGCAGGGAUACAUGUGCCCUGACGUUCCCUAGCCAACCAGACUGGCCACUCACUUAGAAUAAAGAACAUGUCCCAGGAAAUGAAGAAAAAAAGGUAUACAACAUCUAAGGAUGCCCUCUGGUUUCCACAUGCACUCAAACAUACAUGUGCACCUGUACACAUACAAACAUACAAACACGGAACAAUAUAAAACUGGAACAUCAAACUAUUAAGACUUGAGUUCAAAAUGAAAAAUCGAUUACUGAAUAUAGAAACAGCUAAGAGGAAUUGAAAUUUUAAAGCCCUUUUCUUUUUGGUUUUGUCUGUUUGCUUGGUUGAUUGGUUUGGUUUUGAGACAGGGUUUCUCUUCGCUGGCUCCCCUGGAACUAGUCCUGUAAACCAGACUAGCCUUGAACUCAGAGAUCUUGCUCUGCCUUACCUUCUACGUGCUGGAACUAAAGGUCUGUGCCACCACACCAAGCUUUAAAAUUCAUUUUGAAACAAGCACAACAAAUAACGUGAGAAAUAGAAGGCAAAAAUUGUCCUGAAUCAAAAGAAAGUAGGGGGCAGGUGACUGGCUCAGCCAUAGAGACCCUGGCAAGUGUGAGGUCAGGGCAGUGGGGUGAGGGUGGGGGCUGGGGUGGCUCAGGAGACCCUGGCAAGUGUGAGGUCAGGGCAGUGGGGUGAGGGUGGGGGCUGGGGUGGCUCAGGAGACCUGGUAAGUAUGAGGUCAGGGCAGUGGGGUGAGGGUAGGGGCUGGGGUGGCUCAGGAGACUCUGGCAAGUGUGAGGUCAGGGCAGAGGGGUGAGGGUUUGGGGUGGCUCAGCUAUAGAGACCCUGGCAAGUGUGAGGCCCUGAGUUCCAUCUCCAAUAUC